GUGGUGCUCGUAGCCUGCGCGA
rnacentral:siRNA from 1 species